rnacentral:tRNA from 1 species
AAGAUGUGUUGUUCGAAUAAAAGCUGCUAACUUAUUAUUCAAAUGGUUUAAUUCCAGUUACAUCUUA